GAAGCUAAAAAAAAGAAGUUGAACUCAAUUCGUUUCAAUCUCUUCUCUUCUCUCUCACUCCCUACCGAUCUGUCCCAAUCUCGUCGAUUCUGUCCAUCCUCUCUCGCGAGCCCUACGCCGUCUCAACAAAAAUGAACAACAUCUGGACGACGCCGUCUCUAAACCAGAGAUCCGUCUUCUCUCUUUGACUUCCCCCGCUUCUUCCAUGGCUGAAACCCUCCAAAAUCCUAACCCUAACAUCUCUGCCUAUUACCAGACUAGGGCCGCUCACCACACGUCAUCACCAGCGACUGGCUUGCCCAGGCCCAGGUGGCCGUCGGCAAUAAAACUAAUGAAGGCAGAGAGCAGGACUAAGAGAUAUCGGACCAAAAGGCAGAUAGAGCUAGAGAACGACAGAGAGAGAGUGUGAGCGACGAGCGAUCGAUUCCAUCAGGCAGCCAUUCUAGGGUUUUCUUCAACAAAUCUCUGGCUUAAAUCUUCAUUGGUACAAAGGUAUGUAUGAUUAUUAAGGGUAUUUGUGCGAUUGAUUGUGAUGGGUACGUUUGUUUGUUUAAUUCUAGGUUUUGAAAUUCCAUAACUCUCUCUCUCGUUCUCCCUCCCUCUGUCUCUAGUAUUUUGGAUUUGGGGAUUUUCACAAGCAGUUAGUAUGUUUCUCUCUUGUUAGUGAUGGAGUUCAGUUCCAAGUUUAAGGUGUUGAUUUCUCAAGAUGAUUUCCCUCAAUGGUUGACUGGUUGAGUUUGUGUUUUAUAAACUUCUCAUUUUAGUAUGAUAGUGUUAUAUUUUAUCCUAAUUAGAAAUCAUAUGUACCAUUGUAGUUCGCUAGCGGGGAAAAGGUAAUUUUUAAGUUUGCAUAUGAAUCGAGGUAUGUUUAAUUUGGUUUACCUGUGAGCUUGAAUUCCUACUUUAGUAGUUUUAUUAGGCUUCCAUUAGUUAUGGUAGCAUCUUAUAAUACUCUUUGGUGAAUUACAGGCAUGGAAAAUGAAGGGAAGAGUAAGUCUUAGGAGUUUGUACCAGGCAAGGAUAGUAAUAGUUAUUAGCUUGUCUCCAAUGUCAGUGUGAGGUAACUUCAGUUCAAGCAAAGAUAAUAUUGAUUGUUUGACUGAGAUGAUACACACCCGAAUAAAGAAAAUCAAUGGUGACAUUUCUGAGAUUUCCCCUAUUGGAACUAAGCAGAGGACUGCUAAGAUCUGAAUUUAAUCUCAUAGUUCUGCUUAAAAUGUAGUCUUUGAAAGGCUUUGGUGGAGCAUAACUUAUUAUCAAAUAAAAAAAUAGUAGUGGGCAUAAUGUGUCAUGAUCCAUAAAGUAGUGAUCAUCUCCUUGUAAACUGCAAUACACUUUGUUAUAUUGAUACCUGCUCCUAACGUUGAUGUGCCCUUUUAAUGUUUGAAUAUUGCCAAUUUGUCCAAGUAUUUUGCCGUUGUAUACAGAUAACUUCCCCUAGUAAUUCACAUCCUUGCAGCUGCUUCUGAAGGGUUGUGUGCUUCUGUUAGUUGGUUGCAUAUAUUUGGGUUCAUUAGAUGAAGGAUUGCUUUUAAGAUUAACAUUUCAUACAUCACAUAAACAUUGUUCAGCUAAUUAGACCUGUCUUUCCUCUCUGUUAUAGCGUUAUCGAUACAUUGAGGCAUAUACAAGUAUACAUAUAAUAGGAUCUGGAGGGACAGAUUUUACAUGAUGGGUUUAUCUAACAAAGAUAUAGUAGCACUAUCAGGAGGACACACACUGGUAAGUUGCAUCUACAAAAUUGUUUUUGACUCAUACUCUUGUAUAUUUUGCUUCUGGGACAAACUCAAAGCUCUUUCACUCUGAAAUCAUAUUCAUGCAGUUAGCCACUCUUUUGGUGUUUUGUGUGAUAGGGGCCGAGGGGGACGAGGAACUGGGCCAGGCACACUUUUGCACAAGUGCUACAACCAAUUCUUCAAGAACUCACAGAAACUUUGGCUGAAAAGCAUGUUAUCAUUAUCCAAAACAUCAAGAUAAUAAACGGAUCUAAACUAAAAAAAGGUAAUUAAUGGUUGUUGUUUUCCCUUUUCAGGAAAGCCCUUGGGGUUUCAUUAGUAAAAUGUUUUUUAGUUUCUUCUGGCUAUAUAUGUUGAACUGCCUUCAUUGGGUUUUUUGUAUUGGUUCAUCCCGCUCGGUCAAUCAUGAGUUUUCAUUACUAGAAUUCAAGAAUACUUUUGCUGCUAGGGUGAUUUAGAUAUGCAAAACAUGGGGGUUCUCUUAGAAAUUAUGGAAGCUUUUGAUAUGCUAACUGCGAUGAGGUCAAGAGGUUUUACUUUUGUAAUUCAUAUACAUUAAUUUAAUUUUCUAAUUCCUCUGCUCUAGAUUUGUUACCUAUACGUUCCCUGAAUUUCUUUCAUCUUAAAAAUGGUUGUAUGUGUUUGUCUAUACUAUAUUCAAUAUAGAGAUUAAGUUUGUGAUAGUUUUGUCUAUUACCAGCGACUAACAGUCUUAGGAAGUAAUGCCAUACAUAUAGAUGCUAGAUAGGUGGACCUUGAGCAAAAGUUUGUAACCAAAAUCAAAACAGUUAUCGAGGGGACUUGCAUUUCCUUCUGAACAGUGUAUGUCCUGCAAGAUUCUGGCAUUGCUUUGUUUGAUACAAUUAUAGACUAAUAGUUAAAACUUAAAACUAAAACUACAACUGCAGAAGAUUUGAAGGUUGUACAUCAUUUUAGUCAGUAAAGUCUAUACUUCUUCAGCUACUCCUUUGCCUGUAUUUUGCUAUAAUAAGCCAAAAAAUUAAAGAAUUAUACAAAAAAUUUACGGCUGCAUGACGAUUACUCUUGUACUUUUAGAGGGAUUACUUUGGAAACUUGUAUAACAGUAUGGCUAUUUUCCUGGUGUAAAGUUAAUACAUUGAUUCUUUUCCAUAUUAAAAGCAUAACAAUAUGGCUAUUUUUUUGGUAUAACAGUAUGGCUUAGUGCAGUGCAAUAAGUGCUCAUAAUGGAUUUGUUACAGCAAACGAUGAAAAAAAUCUCAAAAUGGGUUUGUAACAGCAAACGAUGAGAAAAUGUCAAAAUCGCUGAAGAACUUCUUCACCAUUCGCGAGGUAAACCGAAAAAUUGUCUAAUUGUUUUUUCACAUAAUUGUUGAAGCAUUGUCUGCAAUCAUGCCUUUUAGAACCUUGUCCCGCUAGUUUAUCUGACAUUCCUAAAUUAGAACCUUGGUAAAAUUCCUAAAUUAGAACCUUGUGGCUCUUGUGUGACUGAGACUGGUAAAAUUCUUUCAGGAGAAUGCAGCUGCAGCAGCAUAGAAGGCUUGACUUAUUGAUUUUAACAACAUAGAAGUUGCAAUGUUGCUGAAUAAUGUGAAGUUGGUAUCUCGAGCCCGUUCCCAGGGUAAAGAUCUAUUCAAUAUAGUAGUAAUUAUAUUGAAAAGUGAAUUUGAGAUGUAUGGAUAGUUUGGCAUUAUUGAGAUGUAAACGUAUUGUAUGGUAUUAAUAUUCUUUGUAAUUGGCAUUAAAAAGAAUUAUUGGGAUGUAAACGUAUUGUAUGGUAUUAAUAUUCUUUGUAAUUUUAGUUAUAUAUCAGGCAUUAGCAUAUUGCAGGUGCAUUGGUAAUAUAGGUGAACCACCAUAUUUAUUUAUUUUUUAAUCUACAACAUUUUAAAAACGUUGUGUGAAAGUGUUUAAACGUUG
rnacentral:lncRNA from 1 species